rnacentral:lncRNA from 1 species
ACAACAGAGAGGAGUUAGUUUGCAAGAGGAGGCAUUAUCUUCAUGGUGGAGACAAACUGUCGAGCCCGGAGUAGAAAGGGAAGGGGAAAAGGAAGAAACUGAAGAAUGGUCGAGAAAGGGAAGGGGAAAAGGAAGAAACUGAAGAAUGGUCGAUAUUCUGACGACGACGACGACGACGUAGUAUCGCUGGAUCCUCAGUUAAUUCAAUGUGAGAAGAAGAAGAAGAGAAAAAACACAGGUCUUAACGUCUUAAUGGAACUAGAAAAGCAAGGAUCAUGUCAGCUGAACUCAAUUAACGAAACCAGGAAUGAAUGCCAUCACCCAUCUUGUGAGCUGUUGAGGGAGAACAACCACAGGCUGCAGAGGGAAAAUGAUUCUCUCUAGGCAAAAAUAGCAACAUUGAAAUUGCUGCCAGACGCUUUGCAGAAGAUGGAGGAGUUUCUCCGCUCAGCACCAAGACCAACGACAACACCAAUACCAACACCAAGACCAGAACCAUCACUAUCACCAGCACCAACAGCAGUUCCACCACCAGCAACAGAAGACCCAUCACCAGCUCCAGGUCCAUCAUCAGCAUCAGCAACAGAGGCCCUGGGCCACUCUGUAAGAAUCUGUUUGACUUUAUGUGUAUAGGUUAAGUUACUUAGUUUCAGUUGCACUGUUUUUCUAAAUGCAUCAGCCGUACACUCGGUUAAUCUAAAUGCAUAUAUAUAUCAUUGAGGUAAGACGCUAGUCUGCUGUAUGUUGAAGUAGAUUUGUGGUAAUGUUAUCUACUUGCAUUAAAGGUCAUUCCAAAAGGACUUGUGGAGCGCUGCUCCUUCCAAAGCCCCCAGAAGUUCAUAAAUGAUCUCCUACAUGGGAUGUAUACCAGGGAAUAUAUGGCAGGCCAUUCAGUGACUGGCCAGUCAUCCAGCAGCUGCACAGAAGGAAAACCUGGCCUAGCCAAACAGGACCUUGUUGAAAUAACAAGUAGGUAUAUAGAAAUGAGAAAAGAUGUUGGUUGAGUGAUACCCUCAUUCUCAUGCUCAUCUUUCGUGUAUGUGUUUGUGUGUGUGUGUGUGUAUUCCCAAAGAUGCUGCAAAGUUGAAGUUCACCUACGUAACUGAUACGAACAUAAAAGCAUUUAUACGACAAAAGCUGAACAAUGCUGCCAAAUUUCAGAAACAAUAAAUUAUCAACUGUU